rnacentral:lncRNA from 1 species
AUCUCACCUUGGGGACUUGUCACCAGUAUGUGAAUCUUGGGGUUACAAACAGUCCAUGCUUAAGUCUGUGCACAUGUACAUGUUUUGUUAAUUAUACUUGCAUCCGAAAAAUUAAGUUAGUCAAAUUGUUCUCAAGCAUUCAUGUUAGAAUCCAUCCUUUUGCUUUUGUUUUAUUUUUGAUGGCGUGUUAGCCAGGAACGGCUUGGAUGCCAUCGCAGGAGUGAGCAGAUGGGGCUCCCAUAAUUUACAACCCUGCUGUAAUGUACUUUUUGGGCAGUUUCAUCAGAGUGGUCAUUAAGCCAAACCGAAUGCUAAUGGACACCUAAAGUUCCACGGGAAUUCAGUCCGAUUAUGUGAUAUCCUAUUUCAUUAUUCAGCCGUAUUUAUUGCAAAUUGCAUAUUUGUGCUCUAAUGGGUCAGAAAUCUGUUUGCUUUUCAUGGAUUUUCAUCUUGAAUCUAUGACUAAAUAGAUCGACGGUUGGAACAGCUACUGUUACUCCUCAUGGCCUGGUUACUGUUGUUCCUCUUGCCCAUCAGGUGAACAACGCUAGUGUGAUUCAGAGCAGUGUUCCGCAGUAUCCCACCACUGACUCCUGGGUGCUGUAUGUGAUUACCAUAGAAUUUCCUCUCCUUUGCUACGCUCAUCACUGAGGGAGCCGUUGAUGGGAAGCAGCAGUCUUAUUGGCUGUUAUGCGACUGCUGUUCUGAGGGUUUGCACAAAGUGGCCUUUUAACAACCUCAGUCUUUCUCUUGUCAUUUUCACAGAUUUAUGGAUUCAAUAAGUAAAGCAAAUUUAUUUCUUUUUAGUUGGUUGGCAAGUGCUUUAAAUCCUACUCUAACAAUCAUGUAGAAUAGUGCGAGAAUUUAUGCACUAUAUGAAAAAAAAUACUUUGAAUAAGAAAACCCGACGACAUUGAGCUAGUCUACCUGUUCCCUAAGGAGAUGUGGCGGUUGAGUAACUCAUAGCUGAAAUUUACAAAAAUGUGUCUGGGGCUCUUUAUUUUUUUUCAGGAUGAGCAAGUUAAACUUUAUGUGGGUACAUUUUAUCUGUUAUCAUGUGGUGAAUGUAAUAUUCACCAGAGAAAUUAAUAUUUGGCUAAGGAGAUGACUUAGCGUGUAAGUGUGAGGACCUUCACUGAAUCCCAAGAACUCAUGCAAAGCCAGCAAGAUGGCAUGCAACUUUAAUCCUAGGGCUUCGAGGGUCAGAGUGGAUGCGAGACAGGAGACUUCCUGGAAGCAUGCAGGGCUGUCUGCUCUGCUGUAUACAACUUUGAACAACAAAGAGACUGCCUCAAACUGGGUAGAGAGCAAGAGCAGAACCCGGGCUUGUCCUCUGACCACAACAUAUACACAACAUGAUGCCAGCUUGUGUUAACACAAAACCAGUCAGCACAAAUAAAUAAUUACUUGGGAUAAAUUAUAGUCAUUUCCAAGACAAAAGGGUUAAUUUCUUUGUCUGCAUAUGCAUAUAUGUGGGAGGGGCAUAUAUGUGUGAGUUCUAUAUCUAGCAUACACCCAGGUUCAGCCAUUUCACAGAAAUUACCAUUUUAUAAAAUUACCACUAUCUAUGAUUAAAAACUACAGCAUAUAUACAGACCAUAAAGCUUAAGUCAGAUAUAAGCAAUUCUCUUUAUAAACACUAACAGGUUUGGUGUGUUGCUCAAAUUGUAUAAUUAGGUUCCUUCCAGGAUUUUUCUGAUAUAGGCAUUUAGUCUCUGAAUGUCUCAAGCCCUAGCUUGAUAAUUUCUGUGAAGUAGCUGAACCUAGGUGUAUGCUAGAUAUGAUACAAGGGUAACUAUACAGCCUUUUUAUAUUUAUCCUCCUUUUUAUAUUUAAGCCAGUAACUUUUUGUUGCCAGAAUUAGUUGAAAUAUGGUUUUAUGAUGUAGUAAGAUUGAAAAAUAUGUGACAUUACAGUUUUCUUUGUAGCCUUCAUGAAGAAAGAAUAACACAGACACAUCAAGUCGUUAAACCCAUUAUUAGUUUGAAGUAUUCUGAAAAUAAUUUUUCUUUUCAUAUUUUAAUAGAUUUGAAUCUAUUUUACUACUUAUUUCAACUUCAUCUUCAUGAUAGCUUUAUUGGGACUAGAAUGAUCUCAUGCCUAUGCUUAAUGAGAAGUUAGUUUUCAGAUUCACUAAAAAGUUUUCAUUAGUUUCAAAUUUCAAAUUACUUAAUUUUCUCAGUUAGUCUCCAAUUUUAUGCACUUACUACAGUUCUAGGAACAAUAAGUUUACCAUCUUAAAUGAAAAAAAAUGUAGAUGAACAAAACUCAGUAACGUUUAUUUAAGG